UAGGGAAUAUUGGUCAAUGGACGCAAGUCUGAACCAGCCAUGCCGCGUGAAGGAUGAAGGCCCUAUGGGUCGUAAACUUCUUUUAUUAGGGAAGAAAAAAUGGGAUGCGUCCUAUACUGACGGUACUUAAUGAAUAAGGAUCGGCUAACUUCGUGCCAGCAGCCGCGGUAAGACGAAGGAUCCAAGCGUUGUCCGGAUUUACUGGGUUUAAAGGGUGCGUAGGCGGAAAAUUAAGUCAGUGGUGAAAGCCCGCAGCUCAACUGUGGAACUGCCAUUGAAACUGGUUUUCUUGAAUAUAGCUGAGGCAGAUGGAAUAUAACAUGUAGCGGUGAAAUGCUUAGAUAUGUUAUAGAACACCGAUUGCGAAGGCAGUCUGCUAAACUAUUAUUGACGCUGAGGCACGAAAGCGUGGGGAGCGAACAGG
rnacentral:rRNA from 1 species